rnacentral:rRNA from 1 species
GAUGAACGCUGGCGGCGUGCCUAAUACAUGCAAGUCGAGCGAACAGACGAGGAGCUUGCUCCUCUGACGUUAGCGGCGGACGGGUGAGUAACACGUGGAUAACCUACCUAUAAGACUGGGAUAACUUCGGGAAACCGGAGCUAAUACCGGAUAAUAUAUUGAACCGCAUGGUUCAAUAGUGAAAGACGGUUUUGCUGUCACUUAUAGAUGGAUCCGCGCCGCAUUAGCUAGUUGGUAAGGUAACGGCUUACCAAGGCGACGAUGCGUAGCCGACCUGAGAGGGUGAUCGGCCACAAUGGAACUGAGACAACGUCCAGACUCCUACGGGAGGCAGCAGUAGGGAAUCUUCCGCAAUGGGCGAAAGCCUGAAGGAGCAACGCCGCGUGAGUGAUGAAGGUCUUCGGAUCGUAAAACUCUGUUAUUAGGGAAGAACAAAUGUGUAAGUAACUAUGCACGUCUUGACGGUACCUAAUCAGAAAGCCACGGCUAACUACGUG